rnacentral:tRNA from 1 species
AGCAGCGUGGCGCAGUGGAAGCGUGCUGGGCCCAUAACCCAGAGGUCGGUGGCUCGAAAUCACUCGCUUUCA